rnacentral:rRNA from 1 species
UACGGAGGGGGCUAGCGUUGUUCGGAAUUACUGGGCGUAAAGCGCACGUAGGCGGACUGUUAAGUCGGGGGUGAAAUCCCGGGGCUCAACCCCGGAACUGCCUUCGAUACUGGCAGUCUUGAGGACGGGAGAGGUGAGUGGAAUGCCGAGUGUAGAGGUGAAAUUCGUAGAUAUUCGGCGGAACACCAGUGGCGAAGGCGGCUCACUGGCCCGUUUCUGACGCUGAGGUGCGAAAGCGUGGGGAGCAAACAGG